rnacentral:rRNA from 1 species
GACGAACGCUGGCGGCGUGCUUAACACAUGCAAGUCGAACGGAAAGGCCCUGCUUUUGUGGGGUGCUCGAGUGGCGAACGGGUGAGUAACACGUGAGUAACCUGCCCUUGACUUUGGGAUAACUUCAGGAAACUGGGGCUAAUACCGGAUAGGAGCUCCUGCUGCGUGGUGGGGGUUGGAAAGUUUCGGCGGUUGGGGAUGGACUCGCGGCUUAUCAGCUUGUUGGUGGGGUAGUGGCUUACCAAGGCUUUGACGGGUAGCCGGCCUGAGAGGGUGACCGGCCACAUUGGGACUGAGAUACGGCCCAGACUCCUACGGGAGGCAGCAGGGGGGAAUAUUGCACAAUGGGCGGAAGCCUGAUGCAGCAACGCCGCGUGCGGGAUGACGGCCUUCGGGUUGUAAACCGCUUUCGCCUGUGACGAAGCGUGAGUGACGGUAAUGGGUAAAGAAGCACCGGCUAACUACGUG